UACGUAGGGGGCGAGCGUUGUCCGAAGUUACUGGGCGUAAAGAGCGCGUAGGCGGGCUUUUAAGUGAGAGGUGAAAGGUUCGGGCUCAACCCGGAGAGUGCCUUUCAUACUGGGAGCCUUGAGUGCGGGAGAGGCAAGUGGAAUGGUCGGUGUAGCGGUGAAAUGCGUAGAUAUCGAUCGGAACACCCGUGGCGAAGGCGGCUUGCUGGCUCGCAACUGACGCUGAGGCGCGAAAGCUAGGGGAGCAAACAGG
rnacentral:rRNA from 1 species